GUCUACGGCCCUAUCACCCUGAACACACCCGAUCUCAGAGGCUAAGCAGGGUGCAGCCUGGCGAGGACCUGCAGGCCAGAAACCUGUUGUUGUAAGCA
ensembl:rRNA 5S_rRNA 5S ribosomal RNA